AAAGGAACAGGGACCAAGGCUGGAAAGUCCUUCUUAAUUGAAGAUGGAGCACUCCCAUGGAUUGUACAGAAUGCCAAAAAUGAAGCAUCGACGAUCAAACGACACAUUGAACUCGCACUCUGUCAUUUAGCACAACAUGAAGUGAAUGCAAAAGACAUGAUCAGUGGAGGUGCCCUGUGGGAACUCGUUCGGAUAUCGCGAGACUGUUCACGAGAAGACAUAAGGACUCUUGCGCAUCGAACAUUAUUAUCGAGCCCAGCAUUUCAAGCUGAAAUGAGACGAUUACGAAUAGAUUAUUGAUUGAUCUGAGGCAGUAGGCGUGACAGAAACAUGUAUGUUUAUCUAUCAGCACAAUCAUUUCUGAAUUUUUGUCAUGAAAUCAAAGUAGUGUGAGAUUUGGGUUGUAGUAGUUUAUCAAAUGGUAUUAAUUUCUCAGAGCCACUGGCCUGAUCUGUAAUUUCAAACUUAGUGUGUAAAUUUAUUUGUAUAUUAAGUGAAUAAAAGUAGUUAAUACAAAAGUUGUGGGUUUACCUUGUAAUCUUA